AGAACGAACGCUGGCGGCGUGGAUAAGACAUGCAAGUCGAACGCGAUUUAUCAGGUUAGCAAUAACUUGGUAAAUUGAGUGGCGAAAGGGUGCGUAACACGUGGGAAUUUACCAAGAAGUGGGGAAUAGCUCGACGAAAGUCGAAUUAAUACCGCAUACGAUCGCAAGAUCAAAGCCGGGGACCGCAAGGCCUGGCGCUUUUUGAGAAGCCCGCGGCCCAUCAGCUAGUUGGCGGGGUAACGGCCCACCAAGGCUAUGACGGGUAGCUGGUCUGAGAGGACGACCAGCCACACUGGAACUGAGACACGGUCCAGACACCUACGGGUGGCAGCAGUCGAGAAUUUUUCACAAUGGACGAAAGUCUGAUGGAGCGACGCCGCGUGGAGGAUGAAGGUUUCGGAUUGUAAACUCCUGUCACUGCAGAACAGGAUGUGUUUAUGAAUAGUAAAUGCAUUUGAUGGUAUGGCGGAGAGGAAGGGACGGCGUAACUCGUGCG
rnacentral:rRNA from 1 species